rnacentral:lncRNA from 1 species
CUGUUUUUAAAUUUUUAUUUUAGUAUUUAUUUUUUAUAAAAUUUUAAACGCAAGGGGUAUAAAUGUAUAUUACCUCUUUAAUGAAACCUAUUUUUGUGACUUUGAGCCUUGAGUGCUACUUUGGGAACAAAAACUUGGUUUGAUGCUAUCCUAGUCUUUUUCUCUUUAAAAUUUUAUAAAAAAUAAAUAUUAAAAUAAAAAAUAAAAAUUUUAAAAACAGUUUCAAAAAGUAUUUUUAAAUUAUAAAAAUAAAAUUUGAAAAAAAAAUAAAAAAAAAUUUUGAAAAAAAAAAUUUCAAAAAGUAAUUAUAAAAAUUUCGAAUCUGAAAACAUAUAAUCUGAAACUAUAAAAAAAUUUCUUUUUUUAUUUUUUUAUUUUUAUUUUAUUUUUAUUUUAUUUAUUUUUGUUUGUUUAUUUAAUUUUAAACCAAGAGUAUUAGAGAUAUUUUACCCUUUAAUAAAUGUCAUUUUUGUGACUUUCUCCUUCUAUUGCUAUUUUUGAGACAUAAACUUCAAAAGGUGCUAUUAUUGACAAUUGCCCAAUUUUAAACCCUAAUUCCAAAACCCCACCCCUUAACUCUAAACCCUAAGGUUUGGAUUAAUUAACCAAGGGGUAUAAGUGUAUAUUUACCUCUUUAAUGAAACAUAUUUUUGUGACUUUGAGCCUUGAGUGCUACUUUGGGAACAAAAACUUGGUUUGGUGCUAUCCUAGUCUUUUUCUCAAAAAAAAUUAAAGAAGGGAAUUUUGUAUGUUUUUUCUAUAUAAAAUUGUAAAUCACUAAAUUUCAAUUAAACACUCGAAAUUAAAACACAAGUAGAAGGAAAAUAAUUUACAAAUGAAGAGUUUGAUUAGAAUGAUGUAUAUUUUGUUGUAGAAAUAAUAAUGUACAUGAUUAUUUUUUUGUUAUAGCUGUAAAUAUUUUUGUUGUAGGAUUUUUGGUUGUAAGUCUGAAAACAUUAAUUAAUCAUUUGUAUAUUUUUCUAUCCAAG